AGUGAACGCUGGCGGCAGGCCUAACACAUGCAAGUCGAACGGCAGCACGGCAGUAGCAAUACUGUGGGUGGCGAGUGGCGGACGGGUGAGGAAUACAUGGGAAUCUACCCUGUCGUGGGGGAUAACGUAGGGAAACUUACGCUAAUACCGCGUACGACCGAGAGGUGAAAGCGGCGGACCGCAAGGCGUCGCGCGAUUGGAUGAGCCCAUGUCGGAUUAGCUAGUUGGCGGGGUAAAGGCCCACCAAGGCGACGAUCCGUAGCUGGUCUGAGAGGAUGAUCAGCCACACUGGAACUGAGACACGGUCCAGACUCCUACGGGAGGCAGCAGUGGGGAAUAUUGGACAAUGGGCGCAAGCCUGAUCCAGCCAUGCCGCGUGAGUGAAGAAGGCCUUCGGGUUGUAAAGCCCUUUUGUUGGGAAAGAAAUCCAGCUGGCUAAUACCCGGUUGGGAUGACGGUACCCAAAGAAUAAGCACCGGCUAACUUCGUGCCAGCAGCCGCAGUAA
rnacentral:rRNA from 1 species